rnacentral:rRNA from 1 species
CCUACGGGAGGCAGCAGUGGGGAAUAUUGGACAAUGGGCGAAAGCCUGAUCCAGCCAUGCCGCGUGUGUGAAGAAGGCCUUCGGGUUGUAAAGCACUUUCAGUGGGGAAGAAAGCCUUGGGGCUAAUACCCUCGAGGAAGGACAUCACCCACAGAAGAAGCACCGGCUAACUCCGUGCCAGCAGCCGCGGUAAUACGGAGGGUGCGAGCGUUAAUCGGAAUUACUGGGCGUAAAGCGCGCGUAGGCGGUCUGAUAAGCCGGUUGUGAAAGCCCCGGGCUCAACCUGGGAACGGCAUCCGGAACUGUCAGGCUAGAGUGCAGGAGAGGAAGGUAGAAUUCCCGGUGUAGCGGUGAAAUGCGUAGAGAUCGGGAGGAAUACCAGUGGCGAAGGCGGCCUUCUGGACUGACACUGACGCUGUGGUGCGAAAGCGUGGGUAGCAAACAGGAUUAGAUACCCCGGUAGUC